UGUUUUUAGUAGAUUAUCUCUUUUGUUCUUUUCUGCUCAUUUUAUUAGUAUUACAAACAAUAUUCAUAUAUUGAUAUAUACUGUAUUGUUUUGUUUAUUUUGGCCAUUACGUGUUUCAUGUCCAAAUGAAUAUGUUUUCAUGCGUUUUGUUUUUUUUCUUCAGUUUUCAUGUGUUUCACGUACUCAUAUGUUUCACGUAUUCAUAUGUUAGCAUGGUAAUGUGUUUUUUUUAAUUGUACUCAUGUAUUAAAGAUAUGUUUGUCAUGGUUAUAAUAUAAUAUGUCAGUGUAUUUAAGAUUAUUUUUGCUAAUCUAUAAUUAUUCUGAUGGAAAAUACAGAGAUGGCUCAUGUUGAUCAAGUACAUAAACUCAAGAAAGUAACUCAAACGCAGAGAGAUGGAUGAUUUACAAUGCUCUGAUGGAGAGAACAAAUAAUGGAAAAUGAAAACAUAUGCUACACGCGAAGUCUCCUAUUUAUUUGAGAUACCUAUCCAUACGGUGCAAAGAAUAUGGAAUCGGGCAAAAGAAACUUCUAACAAUGGCGAUGUCGAUGUUUUCCAUAAAAGAUCAGGUAAUUGUAGUCGGAAGCGAAUUCCACUCUAUUUGAAUAAAUUUCUUGAUACUCAUUACACAAGAGAACCACUCUAAGGUCGCUUUGAGCAUCUUUGAAUGUAAGCUCUACAACAUUACAUUGACGUCUCAAGCAAGGGGUUAUUCGACGUCAUACUAAUGCCAUUAAACCAACUUUGAAGGAAAAAAAUAUAAAGAGGAGACUCUAAUUUUGUUUCUCUAUGUUGGACAAAUACUUUAUCUCAUGAACCAAAAUUUAUAUGUACAAUAUUGUGCAUAUCGAUGAAAAAUGGUUUUAUAUGACGAAUAAAAUGGAGAAAUACUAUCUACUUCUGGCCAAAGAAGAGCCAUAUCGUGCUUGUCAAAGUAAAAAUUUUAUUGCUAAAGUAAUGUUUUUGGCUGCGAUGGCUCGACCAAGAUUUGAUGAGAAAGGUAAUGAGGUAUUUUCUGGAAAAAUAGGAGUGUUUCAUUUUGUUUCUUUGGAACUAGCUAUUAGACGAAGUAAACAUAGAGAUGCUGGAACUCUAGAGUGGAAAACAUCAACUUUGGUUAAAAGAGAGGAUAUAAGAGCUUGCUUGAUAAAUCAAGUCAUUCUGAGAAUUCAUGAAACGUGGCCAAAGGAAAAUCGGGGAAAGACCAUAUUCAUUCAACAAGAUAACGCAAAGACACAUGUUGAAUGUGAUGAUAAAGAGUUUGAAGAAGCUGCGUCAAAAAAUGGCUUUGACAUCCGAUUGAUGUGCCAACCACCAAAUUCACCGGACCUCAAUAUUUUGGAUCUUGGGUUUUUCAAUGCCAUUCAAGCGUUGCAACAUAAGACAUGUCCCAAAACUAUUGAAGAUCUUGUUCAUGCAGUGGAAAACUCAUAUUCUGAAUAUCUUACAACAAAGGUAAUCACAUUUUUUUUUACUCUUCAAUAAUGCAUGAAAGAAAUGAUGAAAAUUGGAGGAUCGAACAAGUACAAAAUACUGCAUAUGCAAAAGAGAACAUUCAAAAGAGAAGGUUGUCUUCCUGUUAAGGUAAAUUGUGAUGCUUCAAUAGUACAAAACGUGAUGAACAUGUUAGCUUUGACAGAUUAGUAUUAGGAAAUUU
rnacentral:sRNA from 1 species